GUUCUGUUAAGGCUUCCCCGACCACACGGCGAGAUCCAUGACCGGAAGAAAGCGGUUUGCGAUGGACGACGCGAAACGAGGCGCUCGGCCAACUGUCUUCGUUGCUUGAAGCCAUCGAAGGUGUAAGAAGAGGAACGAUCAAUUUACGAAUCGGAUUACUACCCAAAGCCAGCAUGUAAAUAAUUGUGAUCAUCGUUAACGUGGAGACAAAAAUGGUCGCUUUUAACAACCUUCUUCGGGCAUACAUUCAAGGGUAAGAUCUAAAAAUAAUUACUUCGAUCGGUACAAUUUUUUGGAAUUAAGAAACGUGGAUGCAAAACGGUACUGG